UACGUAGGGUGCGAGCGUUGUCCGGAAUUAUUGGGCGUAAAGGGCUCGUAGGCGGUUUGUCACGUCGGGAGUGAAAACUCAGGGCUCAACCCUGAGCCUGCUUCCGAUACGGGCAGACUAGAGGUAUGCAGGGGAGAACGGAAUUCCUGGUGUAGCGGUGAAAUGCGCAGAUAUCAGGAGGAACACCGGUGGCGAAGGCGGGUCUCUGGGCCGAUACUGACGCUGAGGAGCGAAAGCGUGGGGAGCGAACAGG
rnacentral:rRNA from 1 species